GUACCGAUAGCUCAGUGGCAGAGCGGUGGGGCGUUUACCCAUGCGGCCCGGGUUCGAUCCCCGGUCGAUGUA